UACAGAGGGUGCAAGCGUUAAUCGGAAUUACUGGGCGUAAAGCGUGCGCAGGCGGUGAUGUAAGUCAGGUGUGAAAUCCCCGGGCUUAACCUGGGAACUGCAUUUGGGACUGCAUCGCUGGAGUGCGGCAGAGGGGGAUGGAAUUCCGCGUGUAGCAGUGAAAUGCGUAGAUAUGCGGAGGAACACCGAUGGCGAAGGCAAUCCCCUGGGCCUGCACUGACGCUCAUGCACGAAAGCGUGGGGAGCAAACAGG
rnacentral:rRNA from 1 species